GACGAACGCUGGCGGCGUGCCUAAUACAUGCAAGUCGAACGAGAGCGCCCGGUGCUUGCACUGGUCAAUCUAGUGGCGAACGGGUGAGUAACACGUGGGUAACCUGCCCAUCAGAGGGGGAUAACAUCCGGAAACGGAUGCUAAAGCCGCAUAGGUCUUCGAACCGCAUGGUUUGAAGAGGAAAAGAGGCGCAAGCUUCUGCUGAUGGAUGGACCCGCGGUGCAUUAGCUAGUUGGUGAGGUAACGGCUCACCAAGGCCGUGAUGCAUAGCCGACCUGAGAGGGUGAUCGGCCACAUUGGGACUGAGACACGGCCCAAACUCCUACGGGAGGCAGCAGUAGGGAAUCUUCCGCAAUGGACGCAAGUCUGACGGAGCAACGCCGCGUGAGUGAAGAAGGUUUUCGGAUCGUAAAACUCUGUUGUUAGAGAAGAACAAGUGCUAGAGUAACUGUUAGCGCCUUGACGGUAUCUAACCAGAAAGCCACGGCUAACUACGUG
rnacentral:rRNA from 1 species